rnacentral:tRNA from 1 species
GUCUCCUUAGCUCAGUUGGUAGAGCAACUGACUCUUAAUCAGUGGGUCCAGAGUUCGAAUCUCUGAGGGGACACCA